GGCGCGUGCGCGGCCUCUUAGCGGUCGCCUCGGGGGGCGGCUCUGGUUGGAAGCGGCUCCAGGCGUCCUUGAGGUGGGGUGGGGUUCUGGCCCGGCCCAGCGGGCUCUGCUGAGGGCAGCGAGCGUGAUGCAGUCAGCAGUGGAUGUCUCCUUGCUUAGAGGAAAGCUGGAACAUUAGGAUGUCAAGCUGAAGGCGGUGCUGAAUCUAAACUUCAGCUUUGAAUCACCUCAACCUGUGUUUGAACACUAAACGUUUUCCUCAGAUUUACAAAGAGGGAGUCACAAGCAUAUUCUGAAAUCAUCCUGCCCAUCUGUUACAGAAUAGAGUUGGGGUUAAGUACUCUGACCUGGAGCUGCUCCUUGCUUUCCUUGGCUUGAGCCUGUUAAGUGUCUGGGCUUGAGGAAUGAGCAUCUAGACCCACUAAAUCCUUGUAUGUACUCAGGAGGAUCAUCAAAGGGAAAUUGUAACUCUUCUUAUCCAUCCAGAAUUUUUGUUGGAACAUAAAAUACACAAGUGAUGUUGUCCCAGCAUCAAAAGCAGAGGUAGAAAGGUCAUUUCUCAGAGGAAAUCUUCCAUAAUCUUCUGCUGCAGUUGGGGUAGCAAGAAGUUAAUUCUCUGCUUAUUAGUGAGAUGCAGCAGUGGAAGUAGGGCUGUUGAGACUCUGGGGGGAUACUUGCAAGGAGCUGGUGGGAGCUUUGCAGGGCUGGGUGAGGUAGGAAAGCAUGAAUGAAAAUUUCUCUUGGCAGAAGGCUUUUACAACUGAAUGGGUUAAUCUACUUUCCCAGAUCAGAACUGAGCAGGACAGAAAACAUUUUGAAUUUAAGCAUAUAGUAAAAGUCCUGGCUACAAGCUCAGCUCAGUUUUGACAGCAGAAUGCACUGUGCAAAGCUUGGAAGGGCAGUGAUAUAUACAGGACAUUAGAUACUGUUAGGUGCAGUUGCUAGUCAUGGCUUGCUUGAAGGUUGUAAAGUUGCUUCAUGUCUUUCUUAUUCCAUUAAAAUGAAAUAAAUUGUGUCCGGUUGGCAGAAUAUUAAGCUCCCACAUUUAAACUCAGAAAUUGUUUGAAUACAUGAGGUGGAGUCUGGGGUGCCGGCUUUAUGCAGGAAUUAUCUCAAUCUUUGGCAAUGUGUACAAACUUUGUGUGUGUACCUUGAAUGCUUCCUGGAUGUAACCAUUUCAAACACAACGUUCCUUCUGCAGCAUGCCUCACCUGUUAGCUUCUAUCUAAACCAGCUUAAGUGUUCAGGAAAGCAAGUCAUGCCCCUCACAAAAGAAUCUGGUGCAGUGGUGCGCAGUUUGAGCUCUUGCAACACCAGAAAGGUAGCAGAAAGCAGAUUUUCUCCUCUUUGGGAAGCUGAGCUGAUGAAAAAGAAAGCAGGAGGCACCUUCUGUUGAGAUUGAUCUCACCAUGGCUAGUGAAGCAGAUGUUUGCACUCACUUUGCUACAGUCUUGAUUUUGGCAUCACCAUUUAUUUUUUCACAGGUGGGACUGAGAGAGUCUCUUCCCUCACCUCUCCCGGUGUAGUGCUCAAUCUAUGUUAAACUGUGCCCAUAAAACCUGGCUACAGGCACUUCACCUAGCCCUGGUCCCAGUUUCCAUCUGCUUGUUGUGAGAGGCCCAUCUGUCAUAUUAUGGGAGAAGGGAGGGAUAGGCAUUUUACAUGCUUUCAAGGGGUCUCUGCUUUUUUUUUUUUCCUGGUAAGGUAGGUUUAAAGGUGGGAACUCUCUUUGCCAUCUAGUGGAAAUUCACUACCCUCUUCUUGACAAUUUACUUUCUCCCCAGAAUUACAUUAUUUUGGACUAGAGAGUGGAAGUAAAGUUAUUUCUUAUUCAAAACACAUGUAAGAAACUAGUUGUACAUAGGUCCUACAUUAAGAAUAUUUGUACAUGUUAUUCAGUGGAUGAUUUUACUUGAAUAAAAGUUGAUGACAAGGGAAGGGAGUAAACUAUCAGAUACCAGGAGAGGAUUCACUACAGUGAUGGUUCAUCUUCUUAUUUGCUUGACAUUGCUUGGUUUGUCUUCUAUGACAAAGUUUUAGUGUUUUUCUCUGAAUAGGGACCAGGGGAGUAUUAUGAAUUGAAUUCUGUUUUCAUUCAUUUCUGAACUUCGCUAUAAAAACAUUUAUUAAUUGUGGCUCCUUUUGUUGCAGAAAGCAGAAAACAGAGAAAACUGAAGCUGUAAGUGACAGGUCUGAAGCUUGAGAGGGAACUUUUCAUUGGAAAAAUCAGUACUAAAAGUUUCUAACCUUGUCACCAAGAGUUUGCUAGGGAGAAAGAUAGAGACGGGGGAUACUGAAGGAAACUAAGGAAACUGUGGAAGAGUUAGUAAUUCUCUUGUCAGAUCAGAGCUGAGAAAUAUGCCACUUCAACUCUCUAAAACUCCAUUUAAAAAAAAAUAAAUUGUAUUUUUCCAGGAAAAGUAGAAGUAGGCAUAUCCUGAUUCUGCCACCAAGAUCAAGCAAUUUAUCUUUGUGCUUUUAAAUUUCUUCUCUGCAAAAUGAGACACUGGGCAGUUUCUGUAAGGUUCUUUGAGAUCUAAAACUUUGUGUAAGCUAAUUCAGCAGUAAUCCCCUUUGAUGCUAAACGCUGAGUGUGAUGCAGCACUAACAAGUUGCUAGCUAAAUGAUGAUGAGAUUCAAGACCUUGUGAAAGUCACAAGUAGUGACAUCUGUGAUUUUACACAAAUUAAUGUGAUUUAUUGUUUCCUUUUUCCAUUGCUGAGAUACAAACUACAAAGCUGAUUCCAGUGAAAAACUAGCCUGUGAUCUCCUGAUGAAAGAUUAAACAAAAACCGAAAUUCAAGUUAUUUUUGAAGAUGCUUUUGUGGAAUGAUUUAGAAUGCCUGAUUCUGAACUUGUUCCUAUUUAAACAAUAUGCUGAAUUUUAAAAGUACUUGACUGACUUUAGCUUUGUUUUUUCUUUAUAGUUCUUAGUUGCUUACAUAAAAAAAAAACAAACACAUUCAUAUACACUGUAAACAAUCCAGUUUGAAGCUUUUACUCUAAUUUUGGUAGGUCUCCUUUUGGUUGGCUCUCCUUUGAACUACUGAAUGUAGUAGUGGGUACAGCUCACAUGGUCCUGCCUAAGAGCUCUCUUUUUCCCAGAAGUGUCAGAUCUCCUGUGUGAAUGUUGUAAAAAUUCCUUCUGUGUAAGUGAGUGUAUUCUAGGGGUAUUUGUGGAUGGGAGGGGGCAAGGGGAAGGUAGAAAUAGGCAUCAGUAUAUGACAAGGCAAAGAGAGGAAAAGUUUGUGCUGAGAGGUCAUGUCUGAAAGUCUCUCAAAAAUGGAUAACCUUGAGAGGCUAGCAGUGCUGUUGAAUCUGCAAACACUGAUAAAUUAACAUCAGAGUCAGCCAGACUUGGAAAGACCACCAGAAAAUACCAGUAUCAACAGUGUGUUAUGUGACUCAACACCACCACAAUCUCAGAUGUAGUAAAUCUGCAGACAGGGACUAUGGGCAUGUAUAGACAUACCAGUGGAAACAAGGGACCCCUUGAAGCUUUCUCUGGGCACCUGCCUAGAAGCCAGGAGUGUAUCGGUAUGAACUUCCAUUUGUGAGUCAACAGUUGGAGCUGGCCUCCCAGCUGUCACUGCAGCCUGGUAACUUACUAGUUAGUGCACUGGCAGGCACAUGAAUGAACUGUGUGAACAUAUUGUGUAGUUAUCUGCUAUCAAAAAUUACCGCUUAAUUCUAUUAAUAACAUCUUGAUUAAGAAAAAGAUGUUCUUGUAAAUAUGGAUGAUCUCUUCCU